GGGUUGUGAGGUUAAGCGACUAAGCGUACACGGUGGAUGCCCUGGCAGUCAGAGGCGAUGAAGGGCGUGCUAAUCUGCGAUAAGCGCCGGUAAGGUGAUAUGAACCGUUAUAACCGGCGAUACCCGAAUGGGGAAACCCAGUGUGAUUCGUCACACUAUCAUUAACUGAAUCCAUAGGUUAAUGAGGCGAACCGGGGGAACUGAAACAUCUAAGUACCCCGAGGAAAAGAAAUCAACCGAGAUUCCCCCAGUAGCGGCGAGCGAACGGGGAGGAGCCCAGAGCCUGAAUCAGCAUGUGUGUUAGUGGAAGCGUCUGGAAAGGCGCGCGAUACAGGGUGACAGCCCCGUACACAAAAGCGCAUGUGCUGUGAGCUCGAUGAGUAGGGCGGGACACGUGGUAUCCUGUCUGAAUAUGGGGGGACCAUCCUCCAAGGCUAAAUACUCCUGACUGACCGAUAGUGAACCAGUACCGUGAGGGAAAGGCGAAAAGAACCCCGGCGAGGGGAGUGAAAAAGAACCUGAAACCGUGUACGUACAAGCAGUGGGAGCACCCUUUGGGGUGUGACUGCGUACCUUUUGUAUAAUGGGUCAGCGACUUAUAUUCUGUAGCAAGGUUAACCGAAUAGGGGAGCCGGAGGGAAACCGAGUCUUAAUUGGGCGUUAAGUUGCAGGGUAUAGACCCGAAACCCGGUGAUCUAGCCAUGGGCAGGUUGAAGGUUGGGUAACACUAACUGGAGGACCGAACCGACUAAUGUUGAAAAAUUAGCGGAUGACCUGUGGCUGGGGGUGAAAGGCCAAUCAAACCGGGAGAUAGCUGGUUCUCCCCGAAAGCUAUUUAGGUAGCGCCUCGUGAAUUCAUCUCCGGGGGUAGAGCACUGUUUCGGCUAGGGGGCCAUCCCGGCUUACCAACCCGAUGCAAACUGCGAAUACCGGAGAAUGUUAUCACGGGAGACACACGGCGGGUGCUAACGUCCGUCGUGAAGAGGGAAACAACCCAGACCGCCAGCUAAGGUCCCAAAGUCAUGGUUAAGUGGGAAACGAUGUGGGAAGGCCCAGACAGCCAGGAUGUUGGCUUAGAAGCAGCCAUCAUUUAAAGAAAGCGUAAUAGCUCACUGGUCGAGUCGGCCUGCGCGGAAGAUGUAACGGGGCUAAACCAUGCACCGAAGCUGCGGCAGCGACACUCAGGUGUUGUUGGGUAGGGGAGCGUUCUGUAAGCCUG
rnacentral:rRNA from 1 species